CAUACAUUUAACCCUUGAGGUCUUACUUGGAAUAGACCAAUAAACUAAGCACCACUAUAACACAACUUUGCCUGUCUCAGUGCAUAUUACAAGUGAUUCACUAAUUACUGUUUCCAUUUAUUUAACCCCUUAAGGACCAAACUUCUGGAAUAAAAGGGAAUCAUGACAUGUCACACAUGUCAUGUGUCCUUAAGGGGUUAAUAGGAAUUGUGGAGAAAUGCAAGAGAAUAACACAUUUUAGAGCAAUACAGGAUAGCUUAAAUAAACUACAAUUUCCAAUUUGGCUAUGUCAGAUUUAAACUUGUUUAAA